UUGGAGGGCAAGUCUGGUGCCAGCGGCCGCGGUAAUUCCAGCUCCAAUAGCGUAUAUUAAAGUUGUUGCAGUUAAAAAGCUCGUAGUUGAACUUCGGGGUCUACCCAUUGGUCAGGCUUAAUUGUCUGUACUGGUGAGAUGGAUCUCUACCUUCUGAGGAACUUUCAUGCCAUUUAUUUGGUGUGAUGGGAAAUCAGGACUGUUACUUUGAAAAAAUUAGAGUGUUUAAAGCAGACUAUCGUCUGAAUACAUCAGCAUGGAAUAAUGAAAUAGGACGGACUGACUCUAUUUCGUUGGUUUCUAGGAUCACCGUAAUGAUUAAUAGGGAUAGUCGGGGGCAUUAGUAUUCAAUUGUCAGAGGUGAAAUUCUUGGAUUUAUUGAAGACUAACUACUGCGAAAGCAUUUGCCAAGGAUGUUUUCAUUAAUCAAGAACGAAAGUUAGGGGAUCGAAGACGAUCAGAUACCGUCGUAGUCUUAACCAUAAACUAUGCCGACUAGGGAUCGGACGAAGUUAAUUUUAUAAUGACGCGUUCGGCGCCUUACGGGAAAC
rnacentral:rRNA from 1 species